AUUGAACGGCUGGCGGAAUGCUUUACACAUGCAAGUCGAACGGCAGGCACGGGGCAACCUGGUGGCGAGUGGCGAACGGGUGAGUAAUAUAUCGGAACGUGCCCAAUCGUGGGGGAUAACGUAGCGAAAGUUACGCCAAUACCGCAUACGAUCUACGGAUGAAAGCGGGGGAUCGCAAGACCUCGCGCGAAUGGAGCGGCCGAUAUCAGAUUAGGUAGUUGGUGGGGUAAAGGCUCACCAAGCCAACGAUCUGUAGCUGGUCUGAGAGGACGACCAGCCACACUGGAACUGAGACACGGUCCAGACUCUACGGGAGGCAGCAGUGGGGAAUUUUGGACAAUGGGCGCAAGCCUGAUCCAGCCAUUCCGCGUGCAGGAUGAAGGCCUUCGGGUUGUAAACUGCUUUUGUACGGAACGAAACGGUCUGCCCUAAUACGGCGGGCUAAUGACGGUACCGUAAGAAUAAGCACCGGCUAACUACGUG
rnacentral:rRNA from 1 species